rnacentral:rRNA from 1 species
UACAGAGGUCUCGAGCGUUAGGCGGAAUCACUGGGCUUAAAGCGUGUGUAGGCGGCCUGGUAAGUACCUUGUGAAAUCCCACGGCUCAACCGUGGAACUGCUUGGUAUACUGCUUGUCUUGUGCAACCUAGGGGCGAGCGGAACAGAUGGUGGAGCGGUGAAAUGCGUAGAUAUCAUCUGGAACGCCAAUGGUGAAAACAGCUCGCUGGGGGUUUGCAGACGCUGAGACACGAAAGCCAGGGGAGCAAACGGG